UUUUGCUUUAUUCAUUUGGCUCUACAGUUUCACAUAUAUUACAAAUGUUCGUACAAAUACAACUUCCAGCAAAAACAUAAAACAUAAAGGAGCCGUUGCCUGUUUGCGUUAAUCAUGUAAUUCACUGCCCACUUGUGGUGGCAGCAGAGUAUUGUCUCUGAAAUACGGUGGCCCUGAGAGCUCAAUGCACUGCAAUUUAAGAAAACAUGCAAAUACAAAAAUUCACGCGCUUCAAAUUCAGAGCACAUCUUCAUCAACACAUGCGCUGCAAAUAUACACAACACAAAGGAAGUGUUUCCAAGACAAUUUUCAGUAGUGUUUGCAUGUGUUUUCUGAAGUUUAAGUGCGUUGAGCCCUCAGGGCCACCGUACUAAAAGUUGUAUCUAUCGUUUCCCUCAUUUUCGUUGGUGUUAGCCAUGUCCCAUUGACAAAGGCUCUGGCUUGUCAAGCGGAGAAGAAAGUAGCUUAACUCGGAGGUUUGCAGAUGCACAUUGAGGAUAAUCCUGGGCUCUGCCUGAUGCCUAGCGACAGCUAAAGUGUGCUUGUCCAGAUGUCUUUGACUCAGCUUCUACCGUUCUGAGAUCAGUUAUGAUAUUGCACGCGUCACGCAUGCACACACACCUGUGGAAACUAUACUAAACGUGCAUUAAGAAUCAGGAGUACACGAGGAAAUUACACCCAUGUAUGAUCUCGGUGCAAGAACUGUAGUAAGCUUGAGAAGGAAAAUUGCUACAACUGCCCAAGACCCAAGUUCCUGUGUCUCCCUUGUGCUUCCCAACUAGUCUAGGCAAUGAGCCAGGACUAAAGCAGACAGGAAGGACAAAGGUGAAGAAGUCCAGGCAGAGAGCGGCGAGCUGCAGGAAAGAGACUUUCAGCACAGGAAAGUCACGCAGCACAAAAUCAUGAGACAGAACCGGCCCUGAAUUAAAGAGAGAUUUGCUGCUGCUGCUGCUGUAAUGAAAAGGAGCCUGGGAAAGCUAUGACAUCAUCAGAGGCCUCUGUGAACCUCUCUCAGCCACACAGGGCUCAGUGCAGCAGCAAAUGAGCGACAGGCAUUUCCUGUCUGUCUGAAACAACAAAUAACAGUUUAAUUAAUAUAAGAUGUGGUACGACUUAACAGAAACUGGUUCAGGAGCAGAUAUUUGUGCAAUAAAAUGGGUCUCAACAAUGGAGCAAAUGGUAAAAUGUGAUACCAGUUGUUAUUAGUUACAUUUUGACAUGUGUGAUGGCACCGUUCAUUCAUAUGACUGUGCUCAACUUCAUACCACCUGCACUUGACUGUGGUUGUACUUGUUUUGUUUUUUUGUAUGUAUUUAUUCUUAUUUUGUAAACUGUAGCACUGAAGAAAUAAAAUUUAAUUUCCCUGUAUACUGAAUAUUGUAUAUGGAGAGAGUGACAGUGAAUUUUACCUUGUACCUUAUAUGUGGAAGACUUCAAAUAUGACAACUCAUCAUCAGACAGAUGGAGGUUGGAGCUCACAGUAAAGAUAUAGAUCUGCAUCAGUCUGUUAAAGUUAUAGCAUAGGCCUAUUAGCUUAUAAGUGUGUCCUUUCGUAUCAAUUUAAAGUUAAGUCCUGGGGAGGACUCUGACAAAGGUCAGUAAAAUAACACUGUAAUAGGAAAAUAUAAUAACAGUACUAUUUCUAACAUUCAAUAGUCAGGUUAGAGCAGCCAUUGACCAAUAAUGAUGUUAUUUGUUAUCAAUUAUUUACGCUUUGCUGUAAUGUUUCCCAUAUUCCCCUGAUAGUUAGUCUCAGGGUAUAUCAGCUUGUACCCUUGGACCAGUCUAUUGCUAUUAUUUUUAAGUUGUUUAUAACAGCUUUAUUUAAAAAAAAAAAAUAGAUACUGAGAAAAAUAGCAGGUUUAAGAAAAUAGC